rnacentral:lncRNA from 1 species
GGAAGUCUUACAAAAGAUAAAUAUAAAUCAAACUAAAAUUCAUCUUUGGCGCCAAUAAGUCAACUGGGAGACGCCACCUAGAUCAAGUCAAACUCCUCGCUUUGUGGCUCCUCUUGAACCACAUAUUCUUCUCCUGUGGGGGUGUGAGACAGCAAGGGUAAGCUCACACAUGUUCAUCGCUCAACAAGUUGUGGGGAAUAAUGUGGCAUGAACUCACCAAAGGUGGGAGUUCAUGUGAUGUGUAAAGCUGAUCAACAAUAGAGGUUAAAGCUGAGCAUUGCUUUUAAUAAGUUGGUCAAAUUUUAUUAGCAGUUACUAAAUGUAAGUAAAUACCAAACCAUAAUAAAUAAUAUAACAAAAUUAAUAAAUAAUCUCAUGCAAUGCAUAUGACAAAUUGAGUUUAAGUUUCAUAAUUUAAUCAUGCGAGAGUCCUGAGCUGCUCUUGACCAUGAGCUCGGCUAGUAUACCAGUUUUACACUCUGCAGAGGUUGUACCCUGUACCCACAAGUCGUGUAUCCCAUGUUGCCAGGGUUUGCAAGGCCCUUAGACACUACCGAGGUGAAUGGCUAGGGAUCCACUACAAGGUCUUUACAAAGUUCCACUAGCUUUCGAAAAUCCGCUACAGUUUAUGGGAAGACGAGUUGAAAGAAUCCCUCGUCUGACCGCCAUCGUAACAAAAUCAACCCGAGAACCUCCCUGCAUGCAACUCCCCUACUGCCCUUGCCCCUUUCGGGUAAGGUAGUCUUCCACUAGCUUUCCUAAUUAGUCAGCCAAGGGCGUACCAUCCCACCCUUGUGGUGGUACAUGUUUCAUAAGUUAAGCUCCAUGUUCCAAUUAAAGAUAAUGAUGAUCUUGACAUGAACAUAAAUAAAAUAACAACAUAAUUGGAACAUGGAUAUAAUGAAAUAUUAUCCCAAAACCAAUAAAGCAAUAGCAAACUACCCAAAUGAUUCUGGGGUAACAAGGUAAAAGGAUAAACAGACUAGGGUGACCUAUUGGGUCCCAUCAAAAUUAAGCAUAUGCAUGAAUAAAUGAUUAUAAAGAACAUUAUUGGGUAAAUGAAGGUGAUCAAGGGCACAACUUGCCUGGCACUUGAGAUUCUAGGUACAAGGAUGAUCCUCAGGUGACUCGCAACCUCGCUGCUAGUCGUAGCAGUACAAACAAACAUGGUAUGGACAAAAUUAACAUCACACCAAACAUGUAAACAAAAUACACAUUAAUAAUCUACAUAUUAAAAUAAGAUCAUAGGAACAAGAAUCAUUAAUUUUGGAGUUAUAGAUUUUAAGUUAUGAAUUUCUAAAGAUUCUAUGUGUUUUGUACAAGAUUAAAUAGGAUAUAAAUUUUAAUGUGACUUUCAUGUCAAAAUAGUGGCACUAAUUGAUAAACAAUAAUAUAAUAAAAUUAUAGAAAUUGGAAUGGAUUAAUUUGGACUUCAUAUGAAUUUUCUAUGAAUUAGACAAAUUCUAGCAUUUAUUUUUGCAUUAAAAUCAUUUUCUAAUUCCAUUUAUCUGAUAUUCUACCUUCCUGGACUAGCGCACUAAUACAGGGAAGAGCAGGGGCCUCUACGCAAGAAACCCUAGACUCAGAGCACAAUAGUGAGGGACGGCGGGUUCUAUUUUCUAAUUUCUAGGGGGUUCAUAUGAAAGUGUGUUCGCGAAGGGGUAUGGAGCGCCUGGGAUUGUCUGAUUAGAGAUCAACGCAUAGGAUUAGAAUCACCCUUGGCCGAAUCGGUAUGGUUUCUGAGCCAACCGAUCUAGAAUCUAUGGCUCAGAUUUAAAACAGCCAAAGUCCACUAUCUCUCGCCCGAUCCUAACUCAAUGGCUCAGAUUCCAUCGUGUGGAAGGGUACGCGGGCGUCUAAUCUCUACCGUAGAUUAAUGAAUCGACGGCCCGACAACACCGUCGUGCCCUGCCCACACCGGUCGCCAGGAUUCGACCCGCGCGCGGUGGCGCCAUGGCUGAGCAACGCACCUCGGGCUCGGCUACACUAUUCUACAAUUCAGUAAGGCAUAACGUAGAGGAGGGGAAGGCGAACAUGGUGGGAACUCACCUUUGGCCGACCGAGGUACGGUGACGCCCGACCACGGAGAAGGGCGGAAGCAAGGACACGACUGCGCUCCGACGAACGAUUCCGGGCUCCACCGACUCCAAUCCUUGAUCGGUGCGGCAGGAACUCAAACACUGGAGUUCAGCGAUGACUCGAACACCCGAUUGAGCCCCCAAUCGACCCCAUAGACCGGUGGCAGUGGAGCACUCCCCUCCCGUGUGGUAGCGGCGGCGAUCUUUCGGUGUCGGGUGGUACCGGGUCUGGCGGACAGGGCAAGCACGAAGGGGGUCAGGAGUCACCAAUAUGUAGCCGCCAUGGGGGAGGUCGGUUGUGGGUGCCCCCCAACG